GUGCCAUGGAACAAGGCAGCAGCGUCUACUUUACAACAAACGGCAACUCGAUGUGCUCCGAAGAUCACCGAAGCAGCAGCAUCGAUCGAUCGAUCCGGCGCUCCUACUCCUCGUCCUCCUCCCUCUCCCUGGGCACGGCCCCGAACCGCUCCACCAGGAUGUCCGCCACGACGGGCACCAGGUCAUCGCACGGCACGGCCUUCUUGUACACGUCCGCCAGGUGCGAGUCGCUGCCGACGCGGCCGCCGACGAAGAUGUCCGCCGCCUCGCAGACCUUGCCGUCGCUGCCCUUGGUGAGGCAUCCCAUGAAGCCGAUGUCGGCGACCUGCACCUGGGCGCAGCUGUUGGGGCACCCCGUCCAGUGCAUCCGCACCGGCCGUGGCACGGACACCCGCUUCUCCACCUCCCGCGUCACCUGCAGCGCCCGCGCCUUGGUCUCGAUGAUGGCCUGCCCGCAGAACUGUUUGCCCGUGCACGCCACCAGGCCCUUGAGCAGCAGCGACGGCUGCGGCGAGAGCCGCUCCUGCAGGAGGGGCUCCGCGAGCAGCGCGUCGAGCCUCUCGUUCCUGACGUUGGGGAGCACGAUGUUCUGCUCCACCGUCAGCCGGAGCUCGCCGGUGCCGUACUCGUCGGCGAGCCGCGCGAGCUCGAACAUGUCGGAGGCCUGCAGCCUGCCCACGGGCACGUGCAGGCCCACGUACGACAGGCCUUCCUGCUUCUGCGGGUGCACGCCGAGGUAGUCACGCCGCUCCCACUUGGCGUCGAUGAGGUCCUCCGGCGCCGCGCGCUCCAGCACCCCGUUCGGCAUCCUCUUCUCCACCUCCGACCGGAACACCUCCAUCCCCUGGUUACAUUCGUUCAUCGUGUCAACGACGAAGGCACUACUAGCAUUGAAGAACAACUAACUAACUUAACCAUCAUCAAUUUGAACGAACGAGGCCGGCGGCUUACGAGCUCGUCGAUGAGCCACAUCAUGCGCGUCUUCUGCCGGUUGCCCCUGUUGCCGAGGUCCCGGAACGCCUCGAGGAUGGCCUUGCACACCGGGAUGAUGUCGUCGCCGGGGACCCAGGCGUCGAGCGGCAACGCCUCGCCCCACCUCUUGGGGCUGAUGAACCCGCCCACCAGGAGGUUGAAGCCGAACUUGCCGUCCUUGACCGCCGGCAUGUACGCCAGAUCGUUGAUGUGCGGGUGCUCGUACAGGUCGUGCGACCCGAUCACGCACACGUUCCAUUUC
rnacentral:lncRNA from 1 species